GGCAAGGUGCCGGAGUGGUUAACGGGUUCGCCUCGAAAGCGAAUGGGCUCUGCCCGCACAGGUUCGAGUCCUGUUCUUGUCG
rnacentral:tRNA from 1 species